CGCCCCCUGUUCCACAGGUGCGUGAUGAACCUCGGCUCUGGCUGGAAGCCUGGAAGUAAACUGGGCAGAGCAGCUUGUGCAUGAGGACUGGCCGACUGAGAUUUGAAGCAGCACCGGAGAGUGGAGUUCCCUGAAGCAAGCUGCUGUGAAACACGGCCUAUCGGAAAUUUUCAGGGUUACAAAUGUACCAGGUCCAGAGCCAAUUGCAGAGGAACCUGUUAGCAGAGCAGCUGAGGAGCGAGCGCCUGGCGUGUCGGCUCGGACUACCUCGGCUUCCUGCAGCCAGACAUGAGUGGAAGCACGGCAGGGAUGCAGAAACCACGGCAACGGCAUGCGCGUAGACGACACGGGCACGGCCUUCCCACUCCAACUCCAACUCCAUGCGGUUGGUCAGCGCGCUCAUUGCAUGUGCAUGAACUGGAUGUGGAUGGACGGCCAUCCCCGGUCGUCCAUCUCAGCAUACGUUGUCUUAGGGUCUGUGUACAGGGAGCUGUUUUUUUAUUAAACACUUAUUUCUAAAACAGUUUCAUAGGUGAAGCUGUUUUUCUUCUCUUGAAGCUGAAAAAAGUAGCUUAUUGCA